rnacentral:misc_RNA from 1 species
GGGGAAGGCUAUGGAUAUUUUGAGGGGAAAAGAGGACUGAGACAAGGGGACCCUGUAUCUCCUUUACUAUUUGUACUAGUUAUGGAGUACCUCUCAAGGCUGCUGAAGAGUAUGUUAUAUCUGCCAGAUUUUAGAUUUCAUCCUAUGUGCAAAGAUAUCAGGUUAAACCACUUGGUGUUUGCAAGGCGACUUAAUGAUAUUCUGUAAAG